rnacentral:rRNA from 1 species
GUGCCAGCCGCCGCGGUAGUACCGGCAGCUCGAGUGAUGUCCAAUAUUAUUGGGCCUAAAGCGUCCGUAGCUGGCCGCGCAAGUCCGUCGGGAAAUCCACCUGCCCAACGGGUGGGCGUCCGGUGGAAACUGCGUGGCUUGGGACCGGAAGGCGCGACGGGUACGUCCGGGGUAGGAGUGAAAUCCCGUAAUCCUGGACGGACCGCCGAUGGCGAAAGCACGUCGCGAAGACGGAUCCGACAGUGAGGGACGAAAGCCAGGGUCUCCAACCGGAUUAGAUACCCUGGUAGUCC